ACACCGGUGGUGUAGUGGUAACAUAAGAGAUUUCCAGGCACGGUUUCCUGUUCUCUUGCCAAGGGUUCGAUUCCCUUUCGGUGUA
rfam:Kockovaella imperatae strain NRRL Y-17943 BD324scaffold_1, whole genome shotgun sequence.